GAUGAAGAACGCAGUGAAAUGCGAUAAGUAAUGUGAAUUGCAGAAUUCAGUGAAUCAUCGAAUCUUUGAACACACAUUGCGCCCUUUGGUAUUCCUUAGGGCAUGCCUGUUCGAGCGUCAUUUAAACCUUCAAGCUCAGCUUGGUGUUGGGUGACUGUCCGCUUCACCGCGGACUCGCCUCAAAAUUAUUGGCGGCCGGUACAUUGGCUUCGAGCGCAGCAGAAACGCGAACUCGGGCCCGUCGUAUUGGCUCCCAGAAGCUAUCUUCACAAUUUUGACAUCGGAUCAGGUAGGGAUACCCGCUGAACUUAAGCAUAUCAAUAAGCGGAGGA
rnacentral:misc_RNA from 1 species